rnacentral:rRNA from 1 species
UACGGAGGGUGCAAGCGUUAAUCGGAAUUACUGGGCGUAAAGCGCACGCAGGUGGCUGAGUCAGUCGAUUGUGAAAGCCCUGGGCUUAACCUGGGAAUUGCAGUCGAUACUACUCAGCUAGAGUGCGGUAGAGGAGAGUGGAAUUCCCGGUGUAGCAGUGAAAUGCGUAGAGAUCGGGAGGAACAUCAGUUGCGAAGGCGGCUCUCUGGACCAGCACUGACACUGAGGCACGAAAGCGUGGGGAGCAAACGGG